UCAGAGGGGAGGAAGCACAACUAGGAAAGAAGAGAAUCAAGCACUCCGAAAGAGAUGAGUUCCUUAAAGACUGGGUAACCAACAUCAAAGAAUGCUUCAGAGAUGAGAAGAAUAAAGUUCAACUGGACAGUGGAGCAGCAGGCACUGGAGUUUUGGAGUCUCAGCUCACAUGUGGUCCUGCCUCCCACUGCCUCCCUGGGAUAGGUGUUCAGCUGGCUAGUUCCGUGACCCCUGGUGCCCUGGCCUUCUCCCGUCUUUCCCACCCAAUACUUGCUCCAUGGCUUCAGUCACCCUCUGCCCCUGAGGGGGGCCUAAGCACUCUGCAAAAUACGUAGCCUACCCUGGUGUGUUGGCUGAUGGCAGAGAAGGGUGGAUGGAAUUGUUCCAACUCAUCAAGCAUCCUCCAGGAAGACUGCGUCCUUUCUUGUCCUGUCAGAGGAGGAAUAAGACAUUCUACAGUGGGGUCUCAGAGGAUGCAAAGCAGAGACUGGAUCAGGGCUGAAUCCUGUUGCUGUAAGCUUUUUGGGCGAGACUCAAGCCCUUUCUUCAGGGGGCCAGCUGGGCAUAAUCCUGACUCUUACUGGUUGUGGCCAGACAUUCAGGGGCUAGGCUUCACAGACACAAUAACCUACAAAUCAUUUCAAAAACAUACAACUACCUACAAAUGAGUGUGCAAGUAAAACUGGCAAAAUCUGAAUAAGGUUGGUAAUUGUAUCAAACUCAAUUAAGAUACUAAGACAUCAUUGAUUAAGAUACACUACUAUGAUUAGGCUAGAUAUUGUGCUGUAUUUAGGUGGAAAGUAGG